rnacentral:rRNA from 1 species
GCCGAAACCCUCACGCGCACCCCGCUCCCUCACCCUAUCUCACGCCAGCCGUCCGAUCCCGCCCACAGAACCCAUCCGACGGCCGGAUCCGCGCCUCCCCGCGGUCGGCGCCCGGCUAGAUCUACCCCGACCCUCGCACCCAGCGCCGCACCGCCAGUCUCUCCCCCGCCCACCGGAAGCCGCAGCGGCCACCGGAUUCCCCCACCCCAACCCGGCGACCCACCCACGGUAAGGGAAGGGAAGGCACAUGCCGCGGCAGAUAGCGGCGGAGGCGGCGGCUUAAAAGGGCCUCUCCAGCCCUUCCUGUACCCCCACCCCAACCCUACCUCGCCGCCGUAUCUCUGAUCUGAAGAACCGGAGGAGCGCAGUGGAGUCCUAGUCCGUUCCCGGCUGCUCCUUUCUACGCCCCGAGCCCGCCGCGAUGAGCCUCCGCAGGUCCAUUUCACUUACCCUUGUGGAUAACGUGGCUCAUUUUGAAGUUACUUUUGUGCUAGCACAAUCUAACUAGCUAGGUUAAGCUAUACUGUUUACUUGGUGGUGUAAAUCUGUAAAGAAAGUCAAUACUUAGUUUUAGUCGAGCUUUGUGUAAAAUAUGGAAAGGAAGGCUGGAAUGAUACUGGAUGAACAUGUUCUGAAAGCUAAUGAUCGCAAGAGGAAACAUGAGUCUGCUGUGAAGAUUACUGGCACAGAUGAUUCUGCUGAGGUCUCUCAGCAUGCUGAUGGUUCUGCUGCCCUUAAGAAGUCUAAAAUGACCUCUUGUGCUGGCCAUAUUCUGGAGUGGUAUAAGAACUUCAAGACAAGCGGGUUGCCGGUGCGUGUGCUUUGUUACCACCAGGGUAAAUGGAGGGAUUUUCCAGAGCAUGUUGUGAAUCUGGUACAGCAGGACUUCAAGUUGAAGAGGCCAAUUACUAAUGCUGUAUUCAAGAACCAGCAAGUCCUGUUGGACUUUAUGCACAUGGUCUGCAUUGAUUCUUCAAUGACCACAAACAAGCCAAUAGCAUGGAUUGAUGUUCAUGGUAACCGCUUCUUUCCAGAGUUAUGUGCUGGACUGGUAACAUCUAAACCAUCUCAGCAUGGGAAAAGUGACCCCAGUGGUAAAUCUGAAGCUGGUGAGUGUGCUGGGACUUUGAUUUUAACAGCUGGAGCUGAAAGCUCGAGUUCAGAUUCUGUUGAUGCAGUACUCCCUCAUGCUAAGAAGGUACAUAAUUAUGCUGCUGUUGAAAAUAAAGCUGGUCCUGCAAUCUGUUUGAAGGAAUCUGCUAGUGGAAACAUACAUGCUGCUACUUGUAAGCAGAAAAUUGGCCAACCUGUUGAUUCAGCUGUGCGCAAAUUAUUACUUGAAGGGGCAGGCCAACCUUUUAGUGAAGAAAAUAUUGUUGGGAUCUACAGAACCCCACUGGUAGAUCAGCAAGGGCGGGCUCGCUUCAAUCUUUUCCAGAAGGAACUUGAAGUCACCAAAAUGCAUCGUGGGAAUGCAAAUGUGCGCUAUGCGUGGCUACCUUGUUCCAAGGAUGCUAUGGAGGAGAUGAUGAUGCGUGGUGUUCUGGAAGUUACAAAACCAAUGCUGGGGCCAAUGUAUGGCAUUGGUACACAUCUUGCUCCAGCGAACUGCGCCAAAACUUGUGCCAGCUACUCAGAUAUUGACGAAAAUGGCAUCAUGAGGAUGAUGCUGUGCCGUGUUAUAAUGGGGAAUGUUGAGGUUGUACUUCCUGGAUCAAAGCAAUUCCAGCCAACCAAUGAAAGAUUUGAUAGUGGCGUGGAUGAUCUUCAAAAGCCAAAGCACUAUGUCAUAUGGGAUGCUAAUGUGCAUCGACACAUCUAUGCUGAAUAUGCUGUUGUUAUCAAAGCACCUUCCAUGACCAAUGAAUACAUGGCUAGAGAAGAUACUGCAUCCAACGUAUCUGAGAUAAGAAAUUCUGGUUCAGCAGAAAGUGUAAUCAAGGACGAUAGUUCCGAAACCAUGGCAUCUCCAGCUGGUAAACAACAAGCACCCAGGUUUGGGCGUGCUCCAACUCGAAGGCCUCCUACUUCACCCUGGAUGCCCCUCCCAAUGCUUUUUGCUGCCAUCUCCACAAAAGUUCCCCGUUCUGACAUGGACGUAAUCCAUGGACACUAUGAAGAAUUCAAGAGGAGAAAGAUAAGCAGGCCCGAGUUUGUGGGACGACUAAGACAGAUCGUCGGCGACAAGCUGCUGGUUUCUACAGUAAUGAGGCUGCAACCUAAGGUGGUGCCACCCAUGGCAGGUGCUGAAGUGCUACCAAGAAGAACACCCGGCACGGGAGAGCAGCACCUCCAGAAGUAGCAGUUUGUCGAUAUAACAGCUCGUGGAGCCGCUCCUAGUGGAGAGAUACAGAGAGUACAAGGAAAGCCGUUAAGUUAUGCGUCAGUUGGUUAUAGACAAAACUAGUGAGUAGACUGUGAGCAGCCUGUUAAGUUGUUUGGUUCCAUCUGGUUGGUCUCUUGGCGUCAGUCGGUAACUGGAAACACUCUGUUGUAGCCGCUGCUGUUGUGUGCAAAUCUGUUUGCAGCUUGUACUGUACUAUACUUGGUAGAUUUGUUGUUUUAAUUUUGAGCUGAUGAACCUAGCAUAGAAUUGAUAGAAGUAAUGGUGAGUUUUAGUUGGCUCUAGAUUUUCUCUCUUUUGCUGACGAGCCUAGCAUAGAAUUGAUACAAGUAAUGGUGAGCUUGACUCGGCUCAUGUGAUUUCCCCCUUGGGGGCCGUUGCUUCUUCAGCUCCUGUUGUGUUGGAAGAAACAUGGUGGGAAGACAAAAUCCAGAGUUUUCUUGUUUCUUGGAUCCAACCACACCAAGAAAAAGAAGCAAUCUUGGUAGCAGGCAUCUAUCUAUCUCUCCAAGGUAGUAUCUAUCACAGCAUACAUUAUUGUCAGGCCUCCGUUGAAGAGAUUUCUGAGGCCUUUGGGAAGACAAAUUCCACUCUCACAAGCACCGUUACAGAUGAUGUUGUUAUAACCUUGGUGAUACUUGCAUCCAUUGCUUUACUUGAAUUCCUACAGCUAUUAUUUUACUGGACAUUGGGGCAGAGUAUCAUUUAUUUGUCAGUCUAUCAGAGAGCAGGCAAGAUUCAAGAAAAGAAAAGAAAAGAAAGAAGCGUGCACAGAGGGUAACUUUUUUGUCAUGGGGUUGAAGGAGUUUCUUGUCAAGAUUGCUGUGUGUCUUCUUGCCAAUAUUGGCGUGGAUCGUGGGAUUAAAGGGGUUUCUUGCCAAUAUUGGCGUGUCAUGUACUCCCUCUGUAAAACAACAGUGAUCUAAACGUUCUGAUAUUAGUUUACGGAGGGAAUACAUCAAACAACGACCACUGGCAGCACAAGCUUGGGCAGUACCCAUUACUUGAUUCAGUCAGCUGCAAUCCUAGUCCAUGAGCAGGUAAACUCUCUCUUAACACACGCACAACGGUGCUACUCGUACUUUGGAGAGUUGUUUUUAUCUUUUCGACUGGGUGUUCCAGCAUCGCCUAAAUGAUUAGGCAUCCAGGGCCCACAAAGGAGCUGGGAAAUCUGUGGAGUUGCCUGAUGAAGUAUUAUCCUCUCCCUUAUACGUACUGGUGCUACACUAAGCAAUGGGAAAUCUUCUUUACAGUUACAGUAGAAUGGAGCACAACACCUCUUGUGGGCCGCUUGUCAGUGGGAAAUGCACCCACAUCCAAGCUAGUCCCAGAGAAAGCAAAAUCAGACUCACACUAUUUUGACUUGGCACAUCGCAACAUGGUACUCUGAGAGAUGCUAACAUUUUCUCAAGAUAGGGCAGCAAAACCCGCUGAAUGUUUAAGCAUUGCCACAAAACCGUCGAAAGACAAAACUGUCAAAAUACUCUUCAUACUUGGUGGUUUUUUGUGCCAAAGCUUCUUCUUCCUGGGCAUCGCGAGCAUCAAGCUGGAGGCGUGUAACCAACACUGCCGCGUGCAUAGUUUCGUUCUCACUGCUUUCCCUUUCUGUGAGUGUGUUUAAUUUCUGCUUGUCUUAAUAAGUGGCAUGUGCUGCUGUUUUGUACUUGUGGAGUAGGUCCGAUGUCUCUUAAGUCUCAACAUAAUUGGCUUUUCUGUAAUUUGUGAUUGAUUGAUUGCUUGCACUCAUCCUGCUGUAAUAUAAUCUGACUAUUUGUGGAUUAUACUAUUGUCCGGCUUUACAUGGAUAUACCAUUAAAUCAUUUUCUUGUUGUAGGUGAUCUAGCGUAUAUUCACAAGCUUGGCCAGUGUCCUGCCGAUUACAAGGGAACCGGCCAGAUCAUUUGUCUGCCCCAGUUGACAAAUAAUAGCAUAGUUUCUUCUG